CGUCUCUUACACCUCCUCUCCGUUCCCAGCACCUCCGCACCUCGUCCUCCCCAUCCCCAUUGCCCCACCGUCGCCACCUUCAUCUCCCCGUCUCCAUCGCCUCAUCCUCUUCCCCAACACUUUUAUCUCUUUCUCUCCACAUAUAGAUCAAUCAUGCGACAAAUUAGCUCGAUCUAUAGAUGGAUCUUAGCGGCAUUGUCGAUCUGUGCCCAGGAUGAGGAGAUCGGGGUUGGGGAGAUGAGGAGGCGACAACUGCGUGUCGUCAGAAGUCAUCGCCAUCUCCUCCCUUCUUCCUAGCUAGCUCCCAGCCUCGCCUCAACUACCACUCGUCAGGAACUCAGGAGUCAGGAUUGCUCCAAGCAUGCAUGACAAGAUCUUAGCUAUGCCUAUGCUUCAGCCGAUAACUGGCUUCCUUGAUUUCACCAUCCAUGCACACAAGAUGCUCGAUGAAAAGUUUACUUGAGAUUGGUCUGCUAUUUGAUCAGUUCCCGUGGGAACUCCCCAGCUAGCUAGCUUAAACUUGCGAUUAAUUUAACUCAAGCAAUGAAGCGAAUAAGCGAUGCAUUCAUCCGUCAGUUGAUGAUGGCUUUUGGUAUGCAGCUUUUGAACUUAAUGUGCUCUGAUUUUAUAUUAGAUUUUUGUUCUCUUCCGUUGGUGUGUCUUAACAUUGUUGUCUUCCUUCACUAACUAAAUAAUUAAUAUCAUUUUAAAUAAGAGAAUAGUGAUGAAAACUUAUCAAUUAUGGUCUAGAAGGAUAAGGCACUGAAAUUUUCUUUAACUGACAGAGUACAUCUUCAAGGAAGAAGCAGCAACCUUUUCUACUAUUGACAAAGCGCAUGAUUGUUUGUCACAGGGUAAAGUAACUCACAGAAUGCCAAUUUACCUAUUUUACUACAUUGUCAGAUUCCAUAUGCUCAUGUACAUCAGCACAACGAUUCAUUUGAUGCUCAUAUUUGGUUUUAGAAAUGGUAAAUUUUCUCUUAGAAUAACUCCUAUAUGACUAUAAUUGGUCUUUAGAUUUCACAUAUUUCAUUUUGCUGCUGAAAGCUAGAUUGAAUUGAAGAGCUGCAAAUACAGUAAUCCGUAUGGAUAUACAUCGGAUUUAUUUACUCUUUUAUCAUACUCCAAACCCAACCUAAUUCAUUUUUGUUAACUCUGCAAAGUGCACAUGGUAGGAGUAGGACAACUUAGGUUCAUACACCUUUGAAGUCAGAAAUAUUUUGUAGAUCACUUCGUUAGAUUUAAUGAUAUAUGAUUUUUUGUAACAUAACAUUUAAGUUCUUUUGAUUGGCAAGAUAAUGUAUAUUUAGAAAACUAAUUAAAGGUUAUUACUUAAGAUAAGCGAAAGAGAUACUUCCACCCUAUGCAGCGGUGGUUCUAACAAUUACUAUUUAUUAAGUCAUAUGGUAUUGUCAAUUUUCAAAUUUAAAGUAGAAUUUCAUACCAUAUUUUGACUCAUAUAUACAACGUUUUCAUACGGGUAUUUAAUGUCGCGCAACGUGCGACUAAGUGGCUAGUUUAUCUUUGGUUUGAUAUUCCUCCACAAUUAACAAUUGCCACUGUUCGCGUGUUUUUUCUUGCCUUUCUUCACAUGUAUUAUAUAAAUUAGCACAUCUUUUGAUGGUGAUAUACAUUUGCACAAUGCUAUGUCGACCUCAUCUUUCUCAUCUUAAAUCUGCCAAAGAAACAAGCCACUAUUGAACCCUGUGAGACAAGGGUAAAAGCAAAUUUAAUAGUAGAGCUUACUAGUAUCUAUAAGUUUAUUGCAGAGCUAACAUGUAUAAUACAUUAAAUUAGCUAUAAGGUUAGCUCUAUAUUUUUUCCUCCUCUCUCGGAUCUUUCUCUUACUACGAAUUUAAUGCAUAUUUCUUGAAGCAUGUGUAGAGCUAGCUUUCACAUGAGAAUCAACUCUCCCCACUUUUCUUUAUCUCUCUUUCACAUAAUCAUGUAACACAUAAGCAUAUAGCUUGCUUAUAACUCACUACUAUCAUUGCUCAUAUAGCUCAUCUUCCAGCAACCUUGAUGUUCAAGAGCAAAGACUCGUGACCACCAUCGUCCAACAAUAUGCAUGCUAGACACCAUGAGCAGACAUGAGUGACAACCACGUAACAAUAGUUGUGUUAUCCUGUGGGGUUUGCGACCACGAAAAUGGAUGAGUAAUGGUAAUAUUGGGGAGAAUCUUAAACUAAAAUGAAUUAGGAUCGGAUGAGAUAUUUGCAACAAAUCAUCUUAUAUCGAACUCAAGACGACAUUUAGGAUGGUUUUUGUAUUUUUUUUUUUAAAAAACUAUUGGACCAGGACCACACUCAGGAAACCCGGCCGGAGUCUAACACUGGCUAACAUGUUGGACGAGCAAGGAUUGUCAAAAUCAAGAUCUUGUGGAUAACUAAUGAAUCCAAACUUAGCAAGGCAGUAGCUCCUCUAACAUUGCUAAAUGCACACAAACAAUGUUAGCAAACAGUUCGUCAUGGUUAAAAUUAGCCAGAAAUAUCGUAUAUAUAUUUCUUUUGCAAAUUUCUGCACCCAAAUGACCAAGUGACUGAAGUAAGGCCCCGGUUGAAACAUGUCAGACAUGAGCAACGAGACAUCCCUUGGAAACUUUUUUUUGGUAAAUUGGAACCAUGCCAUUAUAAUUUUGCAAAGUUUGAGAUAUGCCAUCGGCAUCUCAAUGACAUGUAGGACCCACAUGAGUCAAUGACAUGUGGGUCAGGAUGGCAUAUCUCAAAUUUUGCAAAAUUAUAAUGGCAUGGUUCCAAUUUUCCUUUUUUUUUUUUUUACAUCCUACAACUAUCAUCAUGAUAUUGUUGAUAUGCAGAUGUUUAUGCUGAGAAAUAAGUAUUUUUUCCCCUAACUCAAAAGCGUAUAGCUGACAGGCCAAGUGAUUCUAAUGCAUGUAAACCACCAAUGCUGUCAGGGAUGAUCCCACUUAGAAGAAUUGUAUGACAGGUUCAAGCUUACAAAUCUCUGCAGGAACUUGCCCUGUUAAACUGUUUCAUGACAGAUGAAAAUUUACCAUGUAGAUGAUUCCUGUCUAAUAUCCAAACUGCUGCCCUUUUGUAAUAACUGGCAAGGUGUUAUUGUGUUAGGGAAAACGCCCAAAUCAACUUCAUCAAUCCCCUCAGAAUUACUAUAACUACAAUAUGAAAGAUUGAAAGUGAGUCAUUGUCUGCAGGACUGAGAGUCACCCCUCAACUUCUUAAAUGAUUCUGGAAUGGUGUCUGACAUGUUAGACGGAGGGAGUAGGUAAUUGGCAAU
rnacentral:lncRNA from 1 species